GGGACACGUGGUAUCCUGUCUGAAUAUGGGGGGACCAUCCUCCAAGGCUAAAUACUCCUGACUGACCGAUAGUGAACCAGUACCGUGAGGGAAAGGCGAAAAGAACCCCGGCGAGGGGAGUGAAAAAGAACCUGAAACCGUGUACGUACAAGCAGUGGGAGCCUCUUAAUGGGGUGACUGCGUACCUUUUGUAUAAUGGGUCAGCGACUUAUAUUCUGUAGCAAGGUUAACCGAAUAGGGGAGCCGAAGGGAAACCGAGUCUUAACUGGGCGCUAAGUUGCAGGGUAUAGACCCGAAACCCGGUGAUCUAGCCAUGGGCAGGUUGAAGGUUGGGUAACACUAACUGGAGGACCGAACCGACUAAUGUUGAAAAAUUAGCGGAUGACUUGUGGCUGGGGGUGAAAGGCCAAUCAAACCGGGAGAUAGCUGGUUCUCCCCGAAAGCUAUUUAGGUAGCGCCUCGUGAAUUCAUCUCCGGGGGUAGAGCACUGUUUCGGCAAGGGGGUCAUCCCGACUUACCAACCCGAUGCAAACUGCGAAUACCGGAGAAUGUUAUCACGGGAGACACACGGCGGGUGCUAACGUCCGUCGUGAAGAGGGAAACAACCCAGACCGCCAGCUAAGGUCCCAAAGUCAUGGUUAAGUGGGAAACGAUGUGGGAAGGCCCAGACAGCCAGGAUGUUGGCUUAGAAGCAGCCAUCAUUUAAAGAAAGCGUAAUAGCUCACUGGUCGAGUCGGCCUGCGCGGAAGAUGUAACGGGGCUAAACCAUGCACCGAAGCUGCGGCAGCGACACUAUGUGUUGUUGGGUAGGGGAGCGUUCUGUAAGCCUGUGAAGGUGGCCUGUGAGGGUUGCUGGAGGUAUCAGAAGUGCGAAUGCUGACAUAAGUAACGAUAAAGCGGGUGAAAAGCCCGCUCGCCGGAAGACCAAGGGUUCCUGUCCAACGUUAAUCGGGGCAGGGUGAGUCGACCCCUAAGGCGAGGCCGAAAGGCGUAGUCGAUGGGAAACAGGUUAAUAUUCCUGUACUUGGUGUUACUGCGAAGGGGGGACGGAGAAGGCUAUGUUGGCCGGGCGACGGUUGUCCCGGUUUAAGCGUGUAGGCUGGUUUUCCAGGCAAAUCCGGAAAACCAAGGCUGAGGCGUGAUGACGAGGCACUACGGUGCUGAAGCGACAAAUGCCCUGCUUCCAGGAAAAGCCUCUAAGCAUCAGGUAACAUCAAAUCGUACCCCAAACCGACACAGGUGGUCAGGUAGAGAAUACCAAGGCGCUUGAGAGAACUCGGGUGAAGGAACUAGGCAAAAUGGUGCCGUAACUUCGGGAGAAGGCACGCUGAUAUGUAGGUGAAGCGACUUGCUCGUGGAGCUGAAAUCAGUCGAAGAUACCAGCUGGCUGCAACUGUUUAUUAAAAACACAGCACUGUGCAAACACGAAAGUGGACGUAUACGGUGUGACGCCUGCCCGGUGCCGGAAGGUUAAUUGAUGGGGUUAGCGGCAACGCGAAGCUCUUGAUCGAAGCCCCGGUAAACGGCGGCCG
rnacentral:rRNA from 1 species